rnacentral:rRNA from 1 species
CAGCAGCCGCGGGAAUACAGAGGGUGCAAGCGUUAAUCGGAAUUACUGGGCGUAAAGCGCGCGUAGGUGGUUUGUUAAGUUGGAUGUGAAAUCCCCGGGCUCAACCUGGGAACUGCAUUCGAAACUGGCAGGCUAGAGUCUUGUAGAGGGGGGUAGAAUUCCAGGUGUAGCGGUGAAAUGCGUAGAGAUCUGGAGGAAUACCGGUGGCGAAGGCGGCCCCCUGGACAAAGACUGACGCUCAGGUGCGAAAGCGUGGGGAGCAAACAGGAUUAGAUACCCCAGUAGUCCCUGUCUCUUAUAC